UAAAAUUUUCAGAAUUUUAAAAUGCAGAAAAGUAUUUUUUAACCAAUUAAAACAAAUGAGAAAAAAUAAAAUUCAUGAAAAAUAUAAAACCAGUGAAAUAAAAUAUGGAAAAAUAAAAAACAGAUAAAGAAAAAAAAAAGAGAAUUUUAGAAAUUAUUUUGGGAUUUUUUUGGAUAAAAAAUAAAAUUACUAUGAAUUUUUUAAAGAAAAAGCAAUUAAAAAUAAUAAAAGAAAAAAAAUUAAAAUCAGAAAAAACAAGGAACGUUGGAUCACGC
rnacentral:lncRNA from 1 species